rnacentral:tRNA from 1 species
AAAGCAAAUAAAUAAAUAUUAAUAAUAAAUAAAAAGAAAUUUGAAAAAAGAAAUUUUCAUUUCAUAUUAAUU